rnacentral:lncRNA from 1 species
UAUCGGGAUUCCUACACAAUCAACAUCCCAGGCCUGGCCUUCUCUACACGACACCCUCUGCUGUAUUGCAGUCCCACAUCUUCUCUCCCUUCCCUCCCCCGGUUUCAGCCGAGCCGCUGGGUUUCAGCCGGACUCCGCACACGGCCGCUCUGCGGUGCGGAGACAGCGCGGCCAGGGCAGGGAGCACGCUGCUGGUUGCAACAGAGUGAAUGCAUCCCCUUCCUGUCACUACCACCCACAUCAUACGGAGUUGGAUUAGAAUUGGCACGUUACUUCCUUAAGCCCAAGGUUUCUUCUCCCUGUGGCAGCGAAGCUAUGCUGUUCUCCAGCUCUCAGGUCAGUCAGCUGGAGUUGGAGCACUUUCAGAAGACCAGUAUUGUCAGCAUAUCUGCUUCCAUAACAAACCACCUCCCUUGGAGCUAAGUAUCUUCUCAUUUAGGAACAAAAAUAAAAAGGAAACAGGCCUUAAAACUAUAAGAUGG